UACGUAGGGUGCGAGCGUUAAUCGGAAUUACUGGGCGUAAAGCGUGCGCAGGCGGUUCGUUGUGUCGGUGGUGAAAUCCCCGGGCUUAACUCGGAACGGCCAAGUGAAACUGUCAAGCUAGAGUGCAGAAGGGGCAAUCGGAAUUCUUGGUGUAGCGGUGAAAUGCGUGAGAUACAGAAGGAACGAACCUACGGUGAAGGUGAACACGGGGUUGCUGGGCUGACACUGACGCUGAGGCGCGAAAGCCAGGGGAGCAACGGG
rnacentral:rRNA from 1 species